GCCCCCAGGACUCAGCCCAGUUUGAGUGCGUGGUGAGCAAUGAGGUGGGCGAGGCCCACAGGCUGUACCAGGUGACCGUCCAUGUGCCUCCCACCAUUGCCGACGACCAGACAGACUUCACUGUGACCAUGAUGGCACCCGUGGUCCUCACAUGUCACAGCACGGGUAUACCAGCUCCGACCGUGUCCUGGAGCAAGGCAGGCGCCCAGCUAGGAGCUCGGGGGAGUGGCUAUCGUG
rnacentral:lncRNA from 1 species